rnacentral:rRNA from 1 species
AGAGUUUGAUCAUGGCUCAGAACGAACGCUGGCGGCAGGCUUAACACAUGCAAGUCGAGCGCUCAGCAAUGAGAGCGGCGCACGGGUGAGUAACACGUGGGAACGUGCCCUUUGGUUCGGAAUAACUCAGGGAAACUUGAGCUAAUACCGGAUAAGCCCUUACGGGGAAAGAUUUAUCGCCAUUGGAGCGGCCCGCGUCCGAUUAGCUAGUUGGUGAGGUAAAGGCUCACCAAGGCAACGAUCGGUAGCUGGUCUGAGAGGACGACCAGCCACACUGGGACUGAGACACGGCCCAGACUCCUACGGGAGGCAGCAGUGGGGAAUCUUGGACAAUGGGGGAAGCCCUGAUCCAGCCAUGCCGCGUGAGUGAUGAAGGCCCUAGGGUUGUAAAACUCUUUCGGCGGGGACGAUAAUGACGGUACCCGCAGAAGAAGCUCCGGCUAACUUCGUGCCAGCAGCCGCGGUAAUACGAAGGGGGCUAGCGUUGUUCGGAAUUACUGGGCGUAAAGCGCGCGCAGGCGGUUCUUCAAGUCAGAGGUGAAAGCCCAGAGCUCAACUCUGGAAUGGCCUUUGAGACUAGAGAACUUGGGUACGGGAGAGGUGAGUGGAAUUCCGAGUGUAGAGGUGAAAUUCGUAGAUAUUCGGAAGAACACCAGUGGCGAAGGCGGCUCACCGGCCCGUUACCGACGCUCAGGCGCGACAGCGUGGGGAGCAAACAGGAUUAGAUACCCUAGUAGUCC